GAUAGACAUCGAACAACGUCCAACGUUUAUGAUGAAAAUGAACUGAGAUUAGGAAGCUUCUGCCUUGCAUCGAAUAUUCUGAUGGAGUGUUUAAUCAACUCAACACACAAACAGAGAGAAAACUUUAACCUUCUCAGAAAAGCAAAAGAUUAUCAGGAAAUUGACUAAUCGUUUUUAAAGGAAGCCUUGGAUGUUUUGUGUUUACCUUUUUAAUUGCCUAUAGACCACCAGUCAAACUGCUCCGUAUCCUGCAAAAUAUGAAAGAAAAACUAAUCGAACUAACUACCCAUACGACUUUGGCAUAUGCUGGUAAGACUAAGAUAAGGUUAGGUUGAAUGGGUUGCCCACCAAAGGUGAGUUCACUCGGAGGUCUGUUUGGCCUUUUGUGGAACCCUUGAGGGAGAAAGGGAAGCGAAAGAAAAUGUCAGAUCUCGUACUAGACGUUAUACACGAAUAAAAGAAAAACACAGGCGGGGUGGAGAACAUGAGCGGGGGUGAAGAACCGCCCGUCCCUACGCAAGCACAGAUCUACCUACGCCAGAGCCUGUGGUACCCCCCCUCGGAACCAUCCUGUUUCCUCAACAAACCUCAAGAGACAUACCAGAGGUAGUUAAUUCUAAUCGAACGCACCUUAUUUAACGGAUCCCAGUGGCAGACAGACUGUCAGCCAGUCUCCUAGCAGGCUUUUUAAUGCAGAUGCUCCCAGUCAGACAAUUUCCCACAAUACAUCAAAAUCACAGCAAACGGCAGGCAGACAACCAUGAGUGGGCUUCAUUUUGGAGUUUCCUUGUCUCCCACUUCCAUGCGACAGUACCACCAAAUGAUAGAGACAAACUUUAAGUUAAUUGACAAUUAAAUAGCAAUAAUACAUAAAGAAAAACAACAAAUCCUCCAAACCAAAUAUCGAAAUUCCUUGGCUGAAACCAAAACACCUAUCUGAUAAAUAAAGCCUACCUUAAUUCAUAACUCAGAAGACGCCAACGCACACAAAAUACUUUACGGCACACAUCUGUAUCGAAGGGAGGUAGC
rnacentral:sRNA from 1 species